UUGCGGCUAUAUCACAUUGAAACACCAGUUCUCGUAUGAUCACUGAAGUUAAGCAAUGUCAAGCUUGGUCAAUAUGUAGAUGGAUGACUGCUUGGGAAUACCAGAUGCUG